UCUAAUGGGCCUGCACAGGUGUAGUUGAGGACAUAUGGAUCUGAGGCUUGCAGAAUCUUUAUCACUAGUGGAAAGAACUCAGCUUGACUCUUUGGAGCACAGGAAAGAAAAUAGCCCUGUUCAUAGGCCUCACAGAAGGAUUUGGACAAGAUAAGGAAAGAGAAACGGUCUAGAGCACUGGGACUGAAAUCUUAUUCCAAGCAUGGAGGGCAGCAUGGAAAAAAGUGUAGAGAGAGAGAAGUCAAAAGGAUGCGAAAGGGCGAUGCCACAGCAUAGCAUUGGGAGUUCAUAUGCAGUUGAUUACCCACCAUGACCCCGGAGUCCAUUUCAGAGUCAUUGCUUUCCAGGACACUAUGUUCCAUCCUGGCCAUCAGAAGCUGUAAACACCUAAAAACUUGGCUGUUUCAAGAUGGAAACUAAGGGGAAAGCCAUUGCCAUGCAGCCUGGUAGCAUCCUGCACCACCACGCGGAUCCACUUUGAGCUGUGUGUGCAAACACUGAGAGCUGAGCUA